UACGUAGGGACCAAGCGUUGUUCGGAUUUACUGGGCGUAAAGGGCGCGUAGGCGGCGUGGUAAGUCACUUGUGAAAUCUCUGAGCUUAGCUCAGAACGGCCAAGUGAUACUGCUGUGCUAGAGUGCAGAAGGGGCAAUCGGAAUUCUUGGUGUAGCGGUGAAAUGCGUAGAUAUCAAGAGGAACACCUGAGGUGAAGACGGGUUGCUGGGCUGACACUGACGCUGAGGCGCGAAAGCCAGGGGAGCAAACGGG
rnacentral:rRNA from 1 species